ensembl:snRNA Gm24491 predicted gene, 24491
GUGCUCACUUCAGCAGCACAUAUACUAAAAUUGAAAUGAUACAGAAAAGAUUAGCAUGGCCCUUGAACAAGGAUGAUAUGCAAAUUCGUGAAGCAUUCCAUAUUUUA